rnacentral:lncRNA from 1 species
ACUCCACCCGGCAGCUUGGCCGGCACGUCCGACUGUCUGUCUGUCGGUCGGUCCCCAGUGGCCAACCUCUUGGUGUGGGUGGGGAAGCAGGGACGCGCCCUCUACCCACCGUAGACCAGCGAGCACCUGGACCGAGCACGGAAGGAGGACCUGAACGGUAUCAGGUGUGACCUAGAGGCCGAGCACCACAGGCUAGAACGACUGGGACUGGCCAAGACCCAGAGCUAUCUAAGGACAAUGUUAUCUCAUCUCAAAAAGAAAAGAAAAGAAAAGAAGAGAAGAGAAGAGAAGAGAAGAGAAGAGAAGAGAAGAGAAGAGAAAGAAAGAAAAGAAGAAGAAAAAUAGCAAAGUAUUUUGAGUACUUCAAAACAUUUUCAUGGAAACUACAUCUAGGAUUGCUUACCAAAGGCAGUUAUGGGUUGAAUUAAACAUCUUUGAUUUACACAAAACACA